GCGUGGAUAAGACAUGCAAGUCGAACGGGAUAAUCUUGUAGCAAUACCGGGUUGUUCAGUGGCGAACGGGUGCGUAACACGUGGAUUACAUACCGGAAAGCGAGGAAUAGCCCAGGGAAACUUGGAUUAAUACCUCAUGUGGUCGCAAGACUAAAGGCGGGGCAACCUGUCGCUUUCUGAUUGGUCCGCGGCCUAUCAGCUAGUUGGCGGGGUAACGGCCCACCAAGGCGACGACGGGUAGCUGGUCUGAGAGGAUGACCAGCCACACUGGAACUGAGACACGGUCCAGACACCUACGGGUGGCAGCAGUCGAGAAUCAUUCACAAUGGGGGCAACCCUGAUGGUGCGACGCCGCGUGGAGGAUAAGGUCUUCGGAUUGUAAACUCCUGUCAUGCGAGAGCAAGAUUUGAGCGGGUAACUCCGCUGGAUUUGAUAGUAUCGCAAGAGGAAGAGACGGCUAACUCUGUGCCAGCAGCCGCGGUAAUACAGAGGUCUCAAGCGUUGUUCGGAAUCACUGGGCGUAAAGGGUGCGUAGGUGGCGUGGAAAGUCAGAUGUGAAAUCCGGGGGCUCAACCUCCGAAUAGCAUCCGAUACUCCCAUGCUAGAGAACUGGAGGGGGAUCUGGAAUUCUCGGUGUAGCAGUGAAAUGCGUAGAUAUCGAGAGGAACACUAGUGGCGAAGGCGAGAUCCUGGACAGUGUCUGACACUGAUGCACGAAGGUCAGGGGAGCAAACGGGAUUAGAUACCCCGGUAGUCCUGACAGUAAACGGUGCACGUUUGGUGUGGGAGGAUUCGACCCCUUCUGUGCCGGAGCUAACGCGUUAAACGUGCCGCCUGGGAAGUACGGUCGCAAGAUUAAAAC
rnacentral:rRNA from 1 species